rnacentral:rRNA from 1 species
CCUACGGGAUGCAGCAGUGGGGCAUAUUGCACAAUGGGGGAAACCCUGAUGCAGCGACGCCGCGUGAGUGAAGAAGUAAUUCGUUAUGUAAAGCUCUAUCAGCAGGGAAGAAAAUGACGGUACCUGAGGAAGAAACCCCGGCUAACUACGUGCCAGCAGCCGCGGUAAGACGUAGGGGGCAAGCGUUAUACGGAUUUACUGGGUGUAAAGGGAGCGUAGACGGCAGUGCAAGUCUGGAGUGAAAGGCGGCGACUCAACCCCCGGACUGCUCUGGAAACUGUUCGGCUGGAGUGCAGGAGAGGUAAGUGGAAGUCCUAGUGUAGCGGUGAAAUGCGUAGAUAUUAGGAGGAACACCAGUGGCGAAGGCGGCUUACUGGACUGUAACUGACGUUGAGGCUCGAAAGCGUGGGGAGCAAACAGGAUUAGAUACCCCAGUAGUC